GGUCCCCAACUCUUGGGCCGGUCUGUGAGUCGUUUGGUACAGGGGUUCAGUGUGUCGUACAGUGAAAUGGAUCAGCUGUCAACAGAAAUAAAUAUUAUGGGAGGUUCGUGCUGAGGAAUCUGCCCAAGGAGAGGAAAUGUUAUCCAGCACCCCGUUGCCUUUGGACAAUACUGAAUCUUUUCAAACACCCAUAGAACUUAUUGUUUGAUUUAGUGGCUUUUGCUUUGUAUUUUACUGUUGUAAUUUCAUUGGAUGGUUUAGAAGACUGACAUCAAACAGAAGACUGUUAAUGUGAAGAAUCUAGUAAAUGAUGUACAGCGAUACUACAGAGAUAUCACAAUCUUUGUGAAGUAGUAUGACAUAUUUCUUUAUUUAAUUAUUUAAGUUUUAAUUGAAUUGAUAUGACAUGUACAUGAACUGAAUUCAAGUAAUAUAUUUAGUAUUUCUUUUUAAUUAAAAUUCUGUAAUUAGUAUGCUGUUUAUUUGAAAAUUUGAUUUGAAUAACUAUCAGGAAAAUGUUAACAUGUCCUCACUAGGCAGUGGGCAGUAUCUUUAUAGGGAUAAUGUAAAAAAUAAAAUAAAAUAAAUAAAAAUUUGUGUGAUGAUA